AUUGAACGCUGGCGGCAGGCUUAACACAUGCAUGUCGCGCGGGGUGAUGGUGCUUGCACUAUCACUUAGCGGCGGACGGGUGAGUAAUGCUUAGGAAUCUGCCUAUUAGUGGGGGACAACAUCCCGCAAGGGAUGCUAAUACCGCAUACGUCCUAAGGGAGAAAGCAGGGGAUCACUUGUGACCUUGCGCUAAUAGAUGAGCCUAAGUCGGAUUAGCUAGUUGGUGGGGUAAAGGCCUACCAAGGCGACGAUCUGUAGCGGGUCUGAGAGGAUGAUCCGCCACACUGGGACUGAGACACGGCCCAGACUCCUACGGGAGGCAGCAGUGGGGAAUAUUGGACAAUGGGGGGAACCCUGAUCCAGCCAUGCCGCGUGUGUGAAGAAGGCCUUAUGGUUGUAAAGCACUUUAAGCGAGGAGGAGGCUCUUUUGGUUAAUACCCAAGAUGAGUUGACGUUACUCGCAGAAUAAGCACCGGCUAACUCUGUGCCAGCCGCCGCUGUAA
rnacentral:rRNA from 1 species